rnacentral:rRNA from 1 species
UGGGGAAUUUUGGACAAUGGGCGCAAGCCUGAUCCAGCCAUUCCGCGUGAGUGAAGAAGGCCUUCGGGUUGUAAAGCUCUUUCGGACGGAAAGAAAUCGCCCGGGUAAAUAAUCCGGGUGGAUGACGGUACCGUAAGAAGAAGCACCGGCUAACUACGUGCCAGCAGCCGCGGUAAUACGUAGGGUGCGAGCGUUAAUCGGAAUUACUGGGCGUAAAGCGUGCGCAGGCGGCUACAUAAGACAGGUGUGA